GGAUGGUUACCUAAACUAUUUUAUUCGGAAGGAUACACUCCUGUCCAGCGGCAGAAGUGUUCCUGUGACGAUUUAGGUUAUUAGUUCGCAACUCACCACCAGAUGACGCUCAAACACAGGACACAGGAGGUCACAGAGCUCAUCUAACUUCCUACUGUUUCCAGAGAACCCUCACACCUUCAUCCCUUUAUCUUUCUCGACUGUGAACUUUGCACCUUUAAGGGCAUUGAAGAUGGAUCUACGACUGGCUUUUGUGACAUGAUCUAACAAUGAUCAGCGAUUCGGCCAAAACCACAAGGAUAACACUUUGAAGAAAGAAUACGAACAGAACAGAGAAUCAUGACCAUUCAAUCUUUAUCAUCAGUAGCCUUGGCAGCCACUGUUUUCUCUUUCAUGUUUUGUGUCUGUUUAUUUCUGUGUCUGGCAUCCACCCUCGCCGUUUCAUACUCACCCAGUUCUACAGUUAUCUUUUACACAAACACACACAUGCACACAAACUUUAUCUCUUCCAAAGCACAGCAGCAGCUAGCUAGGCUCCAUCUUGCUGGAAAUCAGAAAGUGUGAGAUAAUGCUGUAACUAAUAAAGAAAAGGGAGGCCCUUUGAUGGCUCAGAC